rnacentral:rRNA from 1 species
GUAGGGUGCGAGCGUUAAUCGGAAUUACUGGGCGUAAAGCGUGCGCAGGCUGUUUUGUAAGUCAGAUGUGAAAUCCCCGAGCUCAACUUGGGAACUGCGUUUGAAACUACAAGACUAGAAUAGGUCAGAGGGGGGUAGAAUUCCACGUGUAGCAGUGAAAUGCGUAGAGAUGUGGAGGAAUAUCAAUGGCGAAGGCAGCCCCCUGGGAUCAUAUUGACGCUCAUGCACGAAAGCGUGGGGAGCAAACAGGAUUAGAUACCCUGGUAGUCCACGCCCUAAACGAUGUCAACUAGUUGUUGGUAGAGUAAAAUCUAUGAGUAACGCAGCUAACGCGUGAAGUUGACCGCCUGGGGAGUACGAUCGCAAGAUUA